AGCUCUGAGGUGUUUUACAUAUUAGAUUGCAAAUCUAAAGUAGUAGGAUAAUUUCUGCCGGGGCUU
rnacentral:tRNA from 1 species